rnacentral:rRNA from 1 species
GAACCGUCCAAACGUUUAUUCGGAAUCACUGGGCUUAAAGGGUGCGUAGGCGGCUUGGCAAGUUGGGUGUGAAAUCCCUCGGCUCAACCGAGGAACUGCGCUCAAAACUGCCAAGCUAGAGGAAGAUAGAGGUGAGCGGAACUAAUGGUGGAGCGGUGAAAUGCGUUGAUAUCAUUAGGAACACCUGUGGCGAAAGCGGCUCACUGGGUCUUUUCUGACGCUGAGGCACGAAAGCUAGGGUAGCGAACGGGGGAUUAGAUACCCCGGUAGUCCUAGCUGUAAACGAUGAGCACUAGGUUGGAGGCUCCUCCAUAGGCUUCCGACCGAAGCGAAAGUGUUAAGUGCUCCGCCUGGGGAGUAUGGUCGCAAGGCUG